AUUGAACGCUGGCGGCAUGCCUUACACAUGCAAGUCGAACGGCAGCACGGGUGCUUGCACCUGGUGGCGAGUGGCGAACGGGUGAGUAAUACAUCGGAGCAUGUCCUGUAGUGGGGGAUAGCCCGGCGAAAGCCGGAUUAAUACCGCAUACGAUCUACGGAUGAAAGCGGGGGACCUUCGGGCCUCGCGCUAUCGGGUUGGCCGAUGGCUGAUUAGCUAGUUGGUGGGGUAAAGGCCUACCAAGGCGACGAUCAGUAGCUGGUCUGAGAGGACGACCAGCCACACUGGGACUGAGACACGGCCCAGACUCCUACGGGAGGCAGCAGUGGGGAAUUUUGGACAAUGGGCGAAAGCCUGAUCCAGCAAUGCCGCGUGUGUGAAGAAGGCCUUCGGGUUGUAAAGCACUUUUGUCCGGAAAGAAAUCCUUGGCCCUAAUACGGUCGGGGGAUGACGGUACCGGAAGAAUAAGCACCGGCUAACUACGUG
rnacentral:rRNA from 1 species